UUUUUUAGUAGCUGUGGUUGAAAGUCGAAGCCAGUCGCAGGCGAAACGAUCCACAUAAGGUAAACUUUGUUUACUGAGCAUGGUGCGGUUUUGGAGUAAGUCCUGCCUUAACCUUAAUUGGUGAUAAUAAUAAGAGAAGGGUAGUAGUGAGGGAUAAAGUUCCUGAGCAAACCUCUCAGCAGGCGAGUGUGGGGGCAAAGACCAGGUCAGUCUGAAGAA
rnacentral:ncRNA from 1 species